GGGGGGGGGGGGGGGGGGGGGGGGGGGGGGGGGGGGGGGGGGGGGGUGGGGGGGGGGGGGGGGGCGGGUGAGUAAGGCGUGGGAACGGGCGGUUUGGUAGGGAGUGGGCGCGGGAAACUGAGGGGAAUCCCGGAUACGCGGGUUGGGGGGAGGAUGUUUCGGAAAAGGGUCGGCCCGCGUUGGAGUAGGUAGGUGGGUGGGUAAGGGCCAACCAAGCAGACGAGCCAGUGCUGGGUUGAGAGGGUGAUCAGCCACACUGCGACUGAGACACGGCCCAGACUCCUACGGGAGGCAGCAGUGGGGAAUCUUAGACAAUGGGGGCAACCCUGAUCUAGCCAUGCCGCGUGAGUGAUUAAGGCCUGAGGGUUGUAAAGCUCUUUCAGCUGGGAAGAUAAUGACGGUACCAGCAGAAGAAGCCCCGCCUAGCUCCGUG
rnacentral:rRNA from 1 species